rnacentral:rRNA from 1 species
GUUUGAUGGCGACCGGCGCACGGGUGAGUAACACGUAUCCAACCUGCCUCAUACUCGGGGGAUAGCCUUUCGAAAGAAAGAUUAAUAUCCGAUAGCAUAUAUUUCCCGCAUGGGUUUUAUAUUAAAGAAAUUCGGUAUGAGAUGGGGAUGCGUUCCAUUAGUUUGUUGGGGGGGUAACGGCCCACCAAGACUACGAUGGAUAGGGGGUUCUGAGAGGAAGGUCCCCCACAUUGGAACUGAGACACGGUCCAAACUCCUACGGGAGGCAGCAUG